ensembl:lncRNA
AAAUCUGAUAAAGUUCAUGAUGUUUAACUCCUGCUUUUUUUUUUCUCCCCCCCUCCCCCCACGCUGUGCUGCGUUCAUGUCACGACUGACGCUUUAGAACAUUUAGAAUAAUACCUUAGGAAUGCUGAUACACCAAAACUGAUUUCUGAGUUCCCUUAUUAAUUUUUAUGAAGUCUAAAAGGGAGCGAUUCGUUGGGUUGGAAAGUCAUAUUUUCGUAUGGAUGUGAACGCAGCACGGGUUAUGGCCCUGGUGAUUUUUAUUUUAAUUUUUUUUAAACAUUCUGGUUGAUUUUGUUUGUUUCCUCAUUGUGCAUGAGGAAGAAGGUGAUUGGAGAAAGCUAUUUAAGGGCUUUUUACAUAAUAAUGGUCAAUAUUCAAACUUUUAACUAAAGAAAGUUUUUUUUUUUUUCUCCAUAAGCUUAGCAUUUGAAGGCAUGUUUCCAUAAUUCACAUAUCUUUGAGUUUUGAACUGACAAAACAAGAUAUUCCCUUAAAUAAAUAAAUAAAUGAAAAAUAAAUUGGUGAUAAAAAAGGGAUUGAUAACAACAGUUUAUUUGAAGAAAGUGAUUUGCUCCUCUCAACCAAAAUAUUGUGUCUUUAGUUAAAUGAAAGUAUUUACAUUUCAUUUCUUUCAUGAAAAACAAACAGGACCCCUAUGCCCAGCUUACCUUAUCACCAGUUAAAUUUCAUCCAGUUUAAGUCACCAGUUUAUUUUACUGAAAGAAGUUUUUACCUUUUUUUUUUUUUUGAAACACUUCAAACCGCUAAGUCAGAAUAUCUGCGCUUUUAUUUUGGAACAUGAGCUGUGAAACCGAUCCAGAGUACGUGAUCAAGGACGACCGACUGCAUCGUUUUUGUGUAUUGUGUCUUGUUACCUCCUGUCACCUGUACUUUCACUUCCUCUCAUUCCUUUCAGAACAAGAGCCUGUGUUUUUGUUGCUGUAUGAUCGGUCCCUUAAAACAACAUUGAUUGUUUCCCGCAAUGACUUUCUGUCGCUGUGGUAAUGAUUAUGCAGAUGUGGCACAACCUUUCCGGUUGACGGGCGGUUCCCACGGGGAGAGGCGGUGACACCACAGUUGUUGCCAUGCCGACAGGCAUCCGACACGAUCCCUCCCCUCCUCCUUGUCUGCUCCACCCGACCCUCCUCCUUGUGCUUAGUCUGGCCUUCUGGAUGCUGAAGAAGGUGAUGGAGGAGUGGGAUGCUCUGCUUGCAUUAAAACCUGGAGCUGCUCACAUAAAACUGUGAAACAUGUUUCCUGAAAUGCUCUGUAACAACAUAAUGUCACAAUCAAAAUUACAAAAAAACAAACCAAACCUAUUCAGUGCAUUUUUAAUUCUAAUAUUGUAUCUAGUCUGCCAUAAUUGUAUUAUUUUGUAUUUUUUGUAGUUUAGAGUUUAAAUCAUAAACCUUAAAAAAAUGUCAGAGCAGGGGGGAAUGAAACAUGUGCCCAUGAGCAUGGCAUAGAACACUGUUCCAGCAAAUGCUUAAUGCACUCCAAUGUGUGUGUGAUGAUAUGCUAGAAGAUAAAAUGUCAUAAUAUACGUUAAGAGAGAGAAGGAAGACAGGCUGAAAGACAUGCUGUGGAAGAGAGCCAGGGAUUAAUAACAAGUAUGAUUCAAUGCACAGAGGUCUAUUAACACAUAGUGAGUGAGAGAAGAAAUACUAGUGCCUCAUGGGAAUCCCCCAGCAACCUAUGUGAUGAUGAUGAUGAUGAGAUGAUGAGAUAGCCUUUAUUUGUCAGUUGCAGGUCUUUUGCCCGCAACCGAGAUGACAGACCUUGCCAACCGUACAUACAAUACACAAACAUCACAUUGGGGAGACAGGUCAGGCUAAUGCAUGUGUAAUGCAGCAUAACUAAGGGAGGAUUCAGGGUCACCUGGUCCAGCCCUAUGUGCUUUAUAUGCUUUAGCAAAAAGAAAAGUUUUAAGCCUAAUCUUAAAAGUAGAUUCAGAAUCCAAACUGGAAGCUGGUUCCACAGAAGAGGGGCCUGAAAACUGAAGGCUCUGCCUCCCAUUCUACUUUUAAAUACUCUAGGAACAACAAGUAAGCCUGCAGUGCGAGAGCGAAGUGCUCUAAUAGGGUGAUAUGGCACUACAAGGUCAUUAGGAUAAUAUUUAAGACCUUGUAUGUGAGGAGCAGGAUUUUGAAUUCAAUCCUCAGUUUAAAAUUUCAAGUUCUCUGUAUUUCUCAUGAUUGGAUAUUUUCAGUAUAUUUUAGGCUUUCAUUUUCAAAUUUUUGUAAAUUAUUUAUUAUACGGACAGUAAGGACAGAUAUUCCCUAAAAGUCAGUGUUAAAUAUAUAUGAUUUUGUGUUCUAUGUUUUCUAAAGAGAAAAAAGCCCUAGCAAUGCAGAUUCUGAAAAUUAAGUAGGACAAAUUUUAAUUUUUAAAUUUAACUUCACAUGUCGUGAACACAGUAUGUCAAACUAAGCGAUAUUUAGCAAGCAAAUAUGUACACCACUACACUAUGAUGACAUUUUAAGUAUGUUGUGUUCUUAAAUAGAAAUGAUUAAUAUCUUUUUAGCCUUUUUUCCUU